AUGGGAAUGGUUGAAGUAGAAUCAACAUUCUCAUGGGAGUGGUUUCUGACAACAGUAAAAAAUGAUUUGAACAUUGUGAACACUUCUCCAUUCACCACAAUGAGUGACAAACAGAAGGGCUUAAUAAAUGCUGUUGCAAAAGUGUUCCCAGAUUCAGAACACAGAUUCUGUGUUCGACAUCUAUAUCAAAAUUUUCAUAUGCUUUUCAAAGGUGAAACUUUGAAAAAUGAUCUGUGGGCAAUUGCAAGAUCUACUAAUGAUACAAAGUUCAAAAUGAAUAGAGAAAAGCUGAGAGAGGACAGCCCUAGUGCUUAUGCUUGGUUGGAUGGUAAAGAUCCUACGCAAUGGGUGAAAGCUUUCUUUAGUGUUUUCCCUAAGUGCGAUAUCCUGCUUAACAAUAUGUCAGAAGUGUACAACAGCUACAUAUUAGAAGCAAGAGACUUUCCUGUCAUUUCAAUGAUGGAAUGCAUAAAGAGUAAGAUCACUGCAAGACAUGAGGGCAAACAAAGGCAAGCAGUAAAUAGUUGGAGCGGUAGGAUCUGCCCAAAGAUUAAGAAAAAAUUGGAGAAGGAAAUUGAGUUGUCUGCUAGCUGUUUUCCAAGUCAUUCUGGACUUGGAGUAUUUUCUGUGUUAUCAGGGAACAACACUUAUCUUGUGGAUAUUCAUGCAUGGACCUGUGAUUGCAGGAGAUGGCAACUGAGUGGUAUACCUUGCAGCCACUCAAUUGCAUGCUUUAGAGAAGAGAGGAUAGAUCCAGAAGAUAUGGUCCACAAGUGCUACACCAUAGAGACUUACCUGCAAGCAUAUGGCCACAAUGUAAUGCCUAUGAGAGACAGAGCUCAUUGGGAGCAAGUGGAUGGACCUUUCAUUCAUCCACCAGUGUAUAAGAAGAGGAUGGGAAGGCCACCAAAGAACAGGAAGAAAACACCUGAAGAAAAGCUUCAGAAGGAUGGCAGCAUUGCUCUGAACAAGAAAGGUGUUAGUAUGCAUUGCUCAAUUUGUGGGAAAGCAGAUCACAAUAAAAAGGGGCAUCAGAAGUUCAUGCAGAGAGAGAUGGAGAGGGAAGCGCAAGAGCAAGAAGAUGAAAUAGAAGAUCCUUCAAUUUUAAAUGACAUAAGGCCACAUGUGUUGGACUCAAGGAUGGAUCCUAUGCAUUUGCCUCUUAGCAUGGUUUACAGAAUGAGGGAAGAGGAGAGAGUCCAUGUCUCAAAUGUCAGACCCCUUGGUCCAUUGCCAGAAAUUGCAAGAUUUGUAGCUGAUGCCAGGGACUCCAUUCCUGAGAGAAGAUCAACUACUACUGCUACAACUAGGGGUAGGAUAAGGGGAAAAGGCAAAGCAAGGGCACUUGAUGAGGGAGAAACUAGUGCUUCACGCGGAGGCAAAACUAAGAGGGUGAGAAGAGGAUCAAGCAUUGCUACUGCAGGUCCAAGUAAUGCAGCAAGAGGAGGUACAAGAGGGCCAAGCAAUGCGGCAACAAGGGGUGGAAGAGGUGUUGCAAGAGGACCAAACAAUGCAACAAGAGGAGGUGAAAGAGUUGCUGCAACAUGGCCAACCUAUGCCGCAAGAGGUGGAAGAGGAGGUGCUGCAACAGGUGGAAGAGGAGGUGUUGCAUCAUCUACAUCUGCUGGAAAUGGCUGGUGGCAUCUACUGCUUGGACAAGAUGGAAACACAACAAACAGUGCUAUUCCAGACCUUAAUACAAAUGUGAUUCCAGAACUGAAUACCCAAGAAGUAAUAAAUGUGACCCAGAAUGCACCUAUUGGUCAUGUGGAGUAG
rnacentral:rRNA from 1 species